GCUUACCCAGCAGGCCUUCAGCGAAUUGGUGAAAAAUUGGCUUCGGUACGCCCCUUGGCGUGUCGGGGGAAAGAAAAGGAACUAGAUCCUCCACUUCAGGAUUGAAGUCUUUUUUUUUUCUGUUGUUACUGACACAAUAAAACAACAAUAACAAACAA